UACAGAGGUCUCAAGCGUUGUUCGGAUUCAUUGGGCGUAAAGGGUGUGUAGGUGGCGCGCUAAGUCGGGGUGUGAAAUUUCGGAGCUUAACUCCGAAACUGCAUUUGAUACUGGCGUGCUUGAGGACUGGAGAGGAGACUGGAAUUCACGGUGUAGCAGUGAAAUGCGUAGAUAUCGUGAGGAAGACCAGUGGCGAAGGCGGGUCUCUGGACAGUUCCUGACACUGAGGCACGAAGGCCAGGGGAGCAAACGGG
rnacentral:rRNA from 1 species